AACUUUCGACAAUGUAUCUCUUGGUUCUGGCAUCGAUGAAGAACGCAGCGAAAUGCGAUAAGUAGUGUGAAUUGCAGAAUUCAGUGAAUCAUCGAAUCUUUGAACGCACAUUGCGCCCUUUGGUAUUCCUUAGGGCAUGCCUGUUCGAGCGUCAUCUAACCCCUCAAGCAUAGCUUGGUGUUGGGCGUUUGUCCCCGCCUCCGCGCGCGGACUCGCCUCGAAGACAUUGGCGGCCUGUGUAUUGGCUACGAGCGCAGCAGAAACGCGCCUCGGACCCUCCCGCGCAGGCGCUCCAGAAGCGUGCAACGCACCUAUAUUUUGACCUCGGAUCAGGUAGGGAUACCCGCUGAACUUAAGCAUAUCAAUAAGCGGAGGCU
rnacentral:misc_RNA from 1 species